UGGCUGAGUCGGUAAAGCGUGUGACUCUUGAUCUCGGAGUUGUGGGUUCAAGCCCCAC
rnacentral:tRNA from 1 species